rnacentral:rRNA from 1 species
UUGAACGCUGGCGGCAUGCCUUACACAUGCAAGUCGAACGGCAGCACGGGUGCUUGCACCUGGUGGCGAGUGGCGAACGGGUGAGUAAUACAUCGGAACAUGUCCUGUAGUGGGGGAUAGCCCGGCGAAAGCCGGAUUAAUACCGCAUACGAUCUACGGAUGAAAGCGGGGGACCUUCGGGCCUCGCGCUAUAGGGUUGGCCGAUGGCUGAUUAGCUAGUUGGUGGGGUAAAGGCCUACCAAGGCGACGAUCAGUAGCUGGUCUGAGAGGACGACCAGCCACACUGGGACUGAGACACGGCCCAGACUCCUACGGGAGGCAGCAGUGGGGAAUUUUGGACAAUGGGCGAAAGCCUGAUCCAGCAAUGCCGCGUGUGUGAAGAAGGCCUUCGGGUUGUAAAGCACUUUUGUCCGGAAAGAAAUCCUUGGCUCUAAUACAGUCGGGGGAUGACGGUACCGGAAGAAUAAGCACCGGCUAACUACGUGCCAGCAGCCGCGGUAAUACGUAGGGUGCGAGCGUUAAUCGGAAUUACUGGGCGUAAAGCGUGCGCAGGCGGUUUGCUAAGACCGAUGUGAAAUCCCCGGGCUCAACCUGGGAACUGCAUUGGUGACUGGCAGGCUAGAGUAUGGCAGAGGGGGGUAGAAUUCCACGUGUAGCAGUGAAAUGCGUAGAGAUGUGGAGGAAUACCGAUGGCGAAGGCAGCCCCCUGGGCCAAUACUGACGCUCAUGCACGAAAGCGUGGGGAGCAAACAGGAUUAGAUACCCUGGUAGUCCACGCCCUAAACGAUGUCAACUAGUUGUUGGGGAUUCAUUUCCUUAGUAACGUAGCUAACGCGUGAAGUUGACCGCCUGGGGAGUACGGUCGCAAGAUUAAAACCCAAAGGAAUUGACGGGGACCCGCACAAGCGGUGGAUGAUGUGGAUUAAUUCGAUGCAACGCGAAAAACCUUACCUACCCUUGACAUGGUCGGAAUCCCGCUGAGAGGUGGGAGUGCUCGAAAGAGAACCGGCGCACAGGUGCUGCAUGGCCGUCGUCAGCUCGUGUCGUGAGAUGUUGGGUUAAGUCCCGCAACGAGCGCAACCCUUGUCCUUAGUUGCUACGCAAGAGCACUCUAAGGAGACUGCCGGUGACAAACCGGAGGAAGGUGGGGAUGACGUCAAGUCCUCAUGGCCCUUAUGGGUAGGGCUUCACACGUCAUACAAUGGUCGGAACAGAGGGUUGCCAACCCGCGAGGGGGAGCUAAUCCCAGAAAACCGAUCGUAGUCCGGAUUGCACUCUGCAACUCGAGUGCAUGAAGCUGGAAUCGCUAGUAAUCGCGGAUCAGCAUGCCGCGGUGAAUACGUUCCCGGGUCUUGUACUCACCGC